AUAUCUGGUACUUCAAUGUAAACGAGACUUUAAAGGAGGAAAGUCUUUCGAUAGCACAAGGAAAAGCCUGGUUUUCCUCCUUUUACCUGGUUUUGCCAUAAACAGUUUUGCUGUCAUUUGCUGUUUUUAUAAUUUACUCGAUUCAAAUAUGUCUUGAUACCUCAUCAGUUACUGGAUUUAAAUCAUUUUUCAUUCUUUACCUAGAGAUGGUACCAUCUGCUAAACUGUGAGUUUAAUCACAUCUUUUGAACUCUCAACGGCUGAAGAACCUCCAACUUAACAUUUUGUUAUCUCCUUUCUGAUUUACAUGAAUAUUCUCCUCAACAAUCAAAACCAACAGAUGCUCACAAAUCGAACAUCGUCAAAAAGAGAUUGUGAGAUGGAAAAGUGUUCUAAUCACUAACCAAUGGCUGGAAAUUAUGUUGAAUCAGAUAGCCGAUAGUUUCGAGUAUCCGUAUGAGCAAUUUGAAGUCUAUGCAUAACAAUUGAUUAAUUUACUCAUUCCUGGUGAAUUCUUCUAAGAACAAACCAGUGAAAGUUAGACUGGAUGACGAAAGCGGACUCACGGAAGAACACGACUGGAUAAAGUUGGACACAUUUAAAUAUUUAUGGAGGCCUUUACAAUGAUGCACCUUUCAAACUAAUUGUGAAAAAAUUAUCUAUUUUACGAAAAUUCGUGAGUUCGUGACUCUAAAUGGACAAAAGUGUCAAAAUCAUAAUAAAUUCUCAUUAAAACUUUGUUUUAAAAAAUAAAAAGACUUGGAAUA